UUAUGGCUUUUUUAUUCAUAAGCAAAAUGUAUAUUUUUAUGCCUUCUUAUAAUUUUUAACUAAAAACAUUUUUUAUUGUUUUUAUACAUUUUGCAUACAAAUCCAUGUUCGGUAGUUUUAAUUACAUGUUAUAAUUGUAACUUUUAGCAAUUUUCUUUCUUUUUCUUUGAGAUGAUAUUUUAAAAAACUGAAACUCUUUUUGCCCAGGCUGGAGUACAGUGACACAAUUUCGGCCCACUGCCACCUCUCCUUCCUGGGUUCAAGUGAUUCUCCUGCCUCAGCCUCCCAAGUAGCUGAGAUUACAGAUUUA
rnacentral:lncRNA from 13 species